UUUUGACCUCGGAUCAGGUAGGGAUACCCGCUGAACUUAAGCAUAUCAAUAAGCGGAGGAAAAGAAACCAACAGGGAUUGCCCUAGUAACGGCGAGUGAAGCGGCAACAGCUCAAAUUUGAAAUCUGGCUCUUUUAGAGUCCGAGUUGUAAUUUGCAGAGGGCGCUUUGGCUUUGGCAGCGGUCCAAGUUCCUUGGAACAGGACGUCACAGAGGGUGAGAAUCCCGUACGUGGUCGCUGGCUAUUGCCGUGUAAAGCCCCUUCGACGAGUCGAGUUGUUUGGGAAUGCAGCUCUAAAUGGGAGGUACAUUUCUUCUAAAGCUAAAUAUUGGCCAGAGACCGAUAGCGCACAAGUAGAGUGAUCGAAAGAUGAAAAGCACUUUGGAAAGAGAGUCAAAUAGCACGUGAAAUUGUUGAAAGGGAAGCGCUUGCAGCCAGACUUGCUUGCAGUUGCUCAUCCGGGCUUUUGCCCGGUGCACUCUUCUGUAGGCAGGCCAGCAUCAGUUUGGGCGGUAGGAUAAAGGUCUCUGUCACGUACCUCCUUUCGGGGAGGCCUUAUAGGGGAGGCGACAUACUACCAGCCUGGACUGAGGUCCGCGCAUCUGCUAGGAUGCUGGCGUAAUGGCUGUAA
rnacentral:rRNA from 1 species